CUGGAGCAGGCUCCCGGGUCAGCUGGGAGAACGCGUCGAGUUCCAUCUCGCCUCACAAAUUCUGUCCAAAGCCCUACCCUGUGCCAGGCACCCAGACACGGAGGGAAGCCAGACCAGGCCCCUGCUGUCAUGGGACUUGCGUUCGAGUGCGGAAACAGAUGACAAGUACAUAGCACGGGCACCACCAGAGAGCGAGGGAGUCGGAACCCCACAGGGAGUUAAAACAGGCUGUGACAGAGAGGGACCUGGACCACUUUACAGGAGGUAGUCAGGGAAAGUGUCUCUGAGGAUGUGCCAUUUCCGGGAAAUCUAGAUGAUGAGAAGGAGUUGGCCAUGUCAAAGGUCGGGGAAAGAGCAGUCCUGGCAGAGGGAACAGCAGUGCAAAGGUCCUGAGGCAGGAGCUGGCUCCAAGUGCCCGAGGAACAGAAAGACUAGAGCGGAUGAAAGGACGAAUGGCCUCGGUCACAGGGGUAGGCUAUUUAGGACUUUGGAUUUUGUUCUUGUGUGGC